GAUCUUUAUUUUUAUUUUUUAUAAAUUAAUAAGAUUAAAAAAAUUUAUAAAAAAAUUAAAAAUUUUAUUGGGGUGAUAUUAAAAUUUAAAUAACUUUUAAAAUUAAUAACAUUAAUAUAUGAAUUUAUGAUCCAAUUAUAUUGAUUAAAAAAUUAAGUUACCUUAGGGAUAACAGCGUAAUUUUUUUUUAGAGUUCAUAUCGACAAAAAAGAUUGC
rnacentral:rRNA from 1 species